GUGGGGAAUCUUCCGCAAUGGACGAAAGUCUGACGGAGCAACGCCGCGUGAACGAUGACGGCCUUCGGGUUGUAAAGUUCUGUUAUACGGGACGAAUGGUACGACGGUCAAUACCCGUCGUAAGUGACGGUACCGUAAGAGAAAGCCACGGCUAACUACGUGCCAGCAGCCGCGGUAAUACGUAGGUGGCAAGCGUUGUCCGGAAUUAUUGGGCGUAAAGGGCGCGCAGGCGGCGUCGUAAGUCGGUCUUAAAAGUGCGGGGCUUAACCCCGUGAGGGGACCGAAACUGCGAUGCUAGAGUAUCGGAGAGGAAAGCGGAAUUCCUAGUGUAGCGGUGAAAUGCGUAGAUAUUAGGAGGAACACCAGUGGCGAAAGCGGCUUUCUGGACGACAACUGACGCUGAGGCGCGAAAGCCAGGGGAGCAAACGGGAUUAGAAACCCGUGUAGUCC
rnacentral:rRNA from 1 species